GUACUUGCUUUGGCAGCACAUAUAUUGAAAUUGGAACAGCACAGAGAAGAUGAGCAUGGCCUCUGUGCAAGGAUGAUAUGCAAAUUCAUAAAGCAUUCCAUAUUUUU
rnacentral:snRNA from 1 species